rnacentral:rRNA from 1 species
AGAGUUUGAUCCUGGCUCAGGAUGAACGCUAGCGGCAGGCCUAACACAUGCAAGUCGAGGGGUAGUCUAGCAAUAGAUGAGACCGGCGCACGGGUGCGUAACGCGUAUGCAACCUACCUUUUACAGGGGAAUAGCCCAGAGAAAUUUGGAUUAAUGCCCCAUGGUAUAUUUAAGUGGCAUCACUUGAUUAUUAAAGUUCCAACGGUAAAAGAUGGGCAUGCGUCCUAUUAGCUGGAUGGUAAGGUAACGGCUUACCAUGGCUACGAUAGGUAGGGGUCCUGAGAGGGAGAUCCCCCACACUGGUACUGAGACACGGACCAGACUCCUACGGGAGGCAGCAGUGAGGAAUAUUGGACAAUGGGCGCAAGCCUGAUCCAGCCAUGCCGCGUGCAGGAAGAAGCAUCUAUGGUGUGUAAACUGCUUUUGUACGGGAAGAAACACUCCUACGUGUAGGAGCUUGACGGUACCGUAAGAAUAAGGAUCGGCUAACUCCGUGCCAGCAGCCGCGGUAAUACGGAGGAUCCAAGCGUUAUCCGGAAUCAUUGGGUUUAAAGGGUCCGUAGGCGGUUUAAUAAGUCAGUGGUGAAAUCUGGUCGCUCAACGAUCAAACGGCCAUUGAUACUGUUAGACUUGAAUUAUUGGGAAGUAACUAGAAUAUGUAGUGUAGCGGUGAAAUGCUUAGAUAUUACAUGGAAUACCAAUUGCGAAGGCAGGUUACUACCAAUGGAUUGACGCUGAUGGACGAAAGCGUGGGGAGCGAACAGGAUUAGAUACCCUGGUAGUCCACGCCGUAAACGAUGGAUACUAGCUGUUCGGGGCAACCUGAGUGGCUAAGCGAAAGUGAUAAGUAUCCCACCUGGGGAGUACGUUCGCAAGAAUGAAACUCAAAUGAAUUGACGG